rnacentral:rRNA from 1 species
CCCGGAACGAAAGUACCCCUGGGUAAACACGGGAGUGACCUUCGGGAGGCUCGGAGACAGGUGCUGCAUGGCUGUCGUCAGCUCGUGUCGUGAGAUGUUGGGUUAAGUCCCGCAACGAGCGCAACCCUUAGUCUUUAGUUGCCAUCAUUGAGUUGGGCACUCUAAAGAGACUGCCGGGUGGUCAAACCGGAGGAAGGUGGGGAUGACGUCAAGUCCUCAUGGCCUUUAUGACCAGGGCUACACACGUACUACAAUGGCCGGUACAAAGGGCAGCGACACAGCGAUGUGAAAGCGAAAUCCCGAAAAGCCGGUCUCAGUCCGGAUUGGAGUCUGCAACUCGACUCCAUGAAGUUGGAAUCGCUAGUAAUCGCGGAUCAGCACGCCCGCGGUCCGAAUACGUUCCGGGCCUU